UAGGGAAUCUUCGGCAAUGGGGGGAACCCUGACCGAGCAACGCCGCGUGAGUGAUGAAGGUUUUCGGAUCGUAAAGCUCUGUUGUUAAGGAAGAACGAGUGUGAGAAUGGAAAGUUCAUACUGUGACGGUACUUAACCAGAAAGGGACGGCUAACUACGUGCCAGCAGCCGCGGUAAUACGUAGGUCCCGAGCGUUGUCCGGAUUUAUUGGGCGUAAAGCGAGCGCAGGCGGUUAGAUAAGUCUGAAGUUAAAGGCAGUGGCUCAACCAUUGUAGGCUUUGGAAACUGUUUAACUUGAGUGCAGAAGGGGAGAGUGGAAUUCCAUGUGUAGCGGUGAAAUGCGUAGAUAUAUGGAGGAACACCGGUGGCGAAAGCGGCUCUCUGGUCUGUAACUGACGCUGAGGCUCGAAAGCGUGGGGAGCGAACAGG
rnacentral:rRNA from 1 species